CAGUUGCUUUUAAGGUGAUCGCAAAGAUAAUUUAUAUAGAGUAUAAAGAGUGUGGGUCCUAGAAUGCUGCCUUGGAGGACACUACUGUUAACUGGAGCAGGAUUUGAUAUAGCACCCCUUAUUUUUACUAUUUGUUGUCUGUUUGACAGGAACACAGUAAUCCACUAAUGAAAGGAUCUGGAAAUGCCAUGAAAGUUUAGUUUUAACAGUAGUUUGUCAUGUACCACUGAAUCAAAGGCUUUGCAGAAGUC